AUGGGUGCAGCAAACCACCAUGGCACAUGUAAACCCAUGUAACAAACCUGCACGUUCUGCACAUGUACCCCAGAACUUAAUUUUUUAAAAACCAUCUUGAACUUUAUGAAACUUAUAUUGAGAAAUAAAGUUUAUAUUUUUUACUUUUACCUUUAAUUUUUCCAUGAACUUUUUCAAGUCUCCUUAUAUCUAUGUGCACAUACAUAGAGAGAUUUUAUAUGUGAAUGUUUGUACUUAGAGAGAGAUGUAUAUCACUAUUUUCAUAGGAAGGAGGAUGCUGAGGCUUCUCUGCUUGAACACUUUCUUUUCCAAGCAGAAGCUGACAACCCUUCUCCUCUUCCCUGAAUGAGUCCCAGAGUUUCUGAAUCAUCUCAACCAUUUUGCAUCUAGUUCUUAACUAUUCGCAGCUAGUUCUCAGAUUUGACUGCACAUUAGAAUCACCUGAGAACUGUGACGAUGACUGCUCCUAGGGUUCUACCUCCAGAGAUUCUGGUUUCUUGAGUAUAGAUCUUGGCUGGAGUGGGGUUGGAGUAGCUAUUGUGUGGCCGGGGCAUCAGGAUUUUUAAAGAUCCCCAAGUGGUUUUCUUGUGCGGCCCAUUUGGAGAACCACUGAUCUACAUAACACAUCCUCUCUGAACUGAGCUCAGAGCCUGGUGGGUUUCUGGGUGUUAAUCAUCUUCCAGGUCUCUGGCCUCAUUUUGUGACUGCAGGGAGCAUCCUCCCUCUAUUGGCAGCUUUGUAGUCCCCAUCUGGGUGCAAGAGACUGCAGGUGCUUGGAAGUGUCCAUCCUGGAGUCAUCAUCAAAACCAUCUACUUGUUUUGGGGUUAUUCCAACUUUUAUUUUAGGUUCAAGGGUACAUGUGCAGGUUUGUUACAAUGGGUAACCUGGGCAUCGUGGGGAUUUAACGUACAGACUAUUUUGUCACCCGUAAUUACCAUAGUACUUGACAGGUAGUUUUGCUAUCUUCACCCUCCUUCUAUCCACUACCCUCAAGUAGGCCCUGGUGUCUGUUUUUCCUUUCUUUGUGUCCAUGUGUACUCAAUGUUUAACUCCCACUUAUGAGAAUAUGUGAUAUUUGGUUUUCUGUUCAUGUAAUAUGUUUAGGAUAAUGGCCUCCAGCUCCAUUCAUGUUGCUGCAAAAGACAUCAUCUCAUCCUUUUUUAUGUAUGCAUAGUAUCCAUGGUGAAUAUACACCGCAGUUUCUUUAUCACGUCCACCAUUGAUAGGCAUUUAGGUUGAUUCCAUGUCUUUACUAUUGUGAAUAGUGCUGGAUGAACAUGUGUGCAUAGGUCUUCAGGAUACCAUGAUUUAUAUUCCUUUGGGUAUAUACCCAGUAAUGGAAUUGCUGGGUCAAAUGGUUGUUCUGUUAUAUGUUCUUUGAGAAAUCUCCAGACUGCUUUCCAUAGUGGCUGAACUAAUUUUUCUAAUGAACUAAUUACAUUCCCACCAGUAGGGUAUAGAGAUUUCCUUUUCUCUGCAGCCUCACCAACAUCUGUUAUUUUUUGACUUUUUAAUCAUUUCCAUUCUGACUGGUAUGAAUACCUCAUUGUGGUUUUGAUUUGCAUUGCUCUAAUGAUUAGUGACAUUGAGCAGUUUUUCAUAUGCUUCUUGGCCCUAUACGUAUCUUCUUUUUAGAUGUAGAAACAUCAAUUUUUUGCAGAGUUUCUAUAGCUCAGCUUAGCACUAGGGAAGUGGGUGGGGGUUGUUAGGUGUACCGUGGGAAGGAGACCCUCUAUAAAGAGAGCAGGGUGGGAACGAGCCCCUUGUUUUCAGAGUCUUUGGUUUUUUUUCAGUCAACACCCCUGUUCUAUCCCAAAAACUUAGGCCUGUUUCUCUAGCAGCCUGGAAAAUGUAAGUGUAGCGAGAAAUACCUGUCUGCACCUGAAACUGGCAAUCAGAGCACAGGGCCCUAAACCCCAGCACGGAGUGGUCUUUCCUACAGCUUGGACAUGCCCUUUGCUCCUUCCCCCUGUAAGUCACCCUCCUUUUACGUUUUUCUAAAGAAAGUUAUUUUUUCCACCUUGGAAUGCCGGCUCGGAACAGCCUCUGGCAUCUCGGAAGGCAGUGUACAGGUGCUUUUCAUCUCUAAUUGCCCCUGCUCCCCCAUUUAAAAGAAACAUUUUCAAAGCAAUGGGAGCAAGUUACUCAUUCAAAUGCAGUUAACAAAUAACAGGACUUAAGUGUGUAAUCUGAAGUUAGUCAGCUUUGAAAAUUUGCCCCGAGGAGUUAAAAUUUCUGCUUCACUGGAAAUUAGAAGAGAGGAUGGGGGAUGGGGGGAUGUCCUUAUGAGAGGAAUUUUCAGCCCCUGGAAUUUUAUGUCUGAUCUCCCUCGCAUCUGAGCUGGAACGUGAGAUCCAGAGCAAGAUUGCAGGAGAGGGCGGGCUGGGGACAGUUCUGGGGCCUGCAGGUGUUCAGUUUCUGUGCCAACCAGCAAGGGCUUCUCCCCCUGCGCCAGCAAACACCCGCCAGGACUUGCUGGAGCCCAUGUCAGUGGAGUCAGCUUAUAAAUUACUCUGGUUCAUCAUUCCACAUUGGAUCGAAUCACAGAGCAUGGAGUGUAGGGGUGCUGCAGCCUGGGCUUCAGGUGGAGGGCUUUCUGGAGGAUCUCCACAAGCAAAGGCUGACCACGCAGUCAUGACAAGCCACAGCCUCCAAGAGAGCACAGCCCCAAGCCUGCAUCUUCUCUCAUGCCUCAGGAGCAACUAAGCCAAAGGCUGGGAGCCUGGGCCCCUUCUCCCAUUUCUUUUUUAAUUAUUGCUUUUUCUUUUAAUAUAUAUUUCCUGGCAUCCUGUACCGUGAGAAGCAGGGACAGCAAUGUCCUCUAGGGAGGCUGCACAUAGUAAGUGUUCAAUAUAGUCAAGUGUCCAAUAAAUGUCAGUUCCCUUCUGUGGUUUAAGAAAAUACACAGGCCCCCAGGGCCAUAUGUAAGAGAUGUGACCCUUGAGUCCUAAAGUGGGGUCAGUAAUAAGGGAAGGAAAAUGAAGGAGGUCCGGACUCCUCAUUAGGUAAGAAAAGGGACUUCACCUGUGCCUGCCAAUCACAAGGACUCUCAGGUUUGGCUCUUUUGUGGACAGGUCCAGGCUUAAAAGAGGACUCAUGGUGUAGGAAUUCUGAAAAUAUUUAUUAAAGGAAGAAAGGAUGAUUCAGUUAGAGGUGGGAGGGAAGGGGCCAUAACUGAAGGAAGAGGCAGAAGGAAAGGGCUUCGAGUUUUCACUGAAGGUGGCUCCUGACCCUGUUGGCAGAAUUCUGAGGAGGAAAAAGUACAUAUGUAAUGCCACUUACUCCCCUUCAGAGCUUCAAAGAAGGUGUGGGGAGGCUGAAGGAGAAAGAACAGGAAGGGAAGAGUCAAGGCUGAAGUGCUCAAGUUCUCCCAUUCUGUGCUAAGAAUAGCAGGCUCUCUUCAGGGGAAAUUCAGUCCCCCUUCCCACUAUGGACCUAACCUCAUCAGGCUCUCCAGCCUGCCCCAGACCACCCACCAACAGGGACGCAGGAGAGUUUGAGAGUGAAUACAUUCAAGGCCCAACCCCAGUACUUUACAUAUCUCCCCUCCAAAUCUAGAAACCAAUGCCUUGGCUCCCUAUGAUCCUACGACUUGGCUUUUUCUGCAUAAAUCUCCUUUCAAAAUUCUUAUCUUAGAUCCAGUUGAUACUGAUUGACACUUUUAUAUUUUAAUUAAAUUUGCAUUUACCCAUUGAGUUUCAUACCCAGCCUCAUUCCAAAAACGAUUGGAGGCAGCUUCUAACCCUUCACUGUGAUAACCACCUCGAUAAAUCUGCCUUACCACCCCCAUUCACAAACACCUGUAUCCACGUCCACAAAAUAUAGAUAAUCUUCAUAGUUUAAUUGUAAAACAACACACAAAACACCUUUGAAACCUGGCUCCAAGUUUUAAAAUAGGUGCAUUAUACUUUGUAUGCUAGGGAGUUUCAGACAGGAUUGUGUGUCCUGGCUACAGAAAUGUAGUCUUGUGGGAGAGCCUGGUCUGCUGCAUCUGGGAGCUGUUGAGACAUGCUGGGAUCCCCGUAAGUAUGCCCACUCCCCACCCAGACGGGAUGCUGAUCCAGAUGCUGGGGUUUGGAUUCAGAAUUUGGGACGGCCUGGAGUAUGACUGCUUUGAUUUUCUUUCCUUGUUAUAUCUAGAGAAAAAGAAGUACACAGGUUGUGUUGAAGAGCAGAGUCUUGUCCAAACCAGGUAUUUGGAACAUUGGAAAAGGGAGAUUUUCCUCCCUUCCAGGAGCCCCUGCAGCAUCCCAGGCCCUUUCCAACUCAGUUUCCAACUGAGUUUGCCAACUCAGGCCCUUUCCCAGACAAACUUGCCCCUUAUCCCUCGGGGAGUCAGUUGAUCCCAGCUGGAACUGUAAUCCUUUGCUAAAAGGCCUCUUGGCCAAAGCCCAGCUCAGCAGGGAAGGGUUCAGCUUUGUCCUUGGGGGGCUUCUGCAGGAGGUCCCAUUCUUGGGGGCUCCAACACUGUGGGAAUCUGGCAGGUGCCCCUUCCCACGUUCACAGAGGUUGCUUUGCAGGGGUUUGAAACAGGACUUUCUUCUCUGGUGUUUAUUUCGGUGAAAUUCAAGAAAGUCCACGUGCAGUUUCACCCUGGGAUAAAAGACGAUCUUCUCUUCCUACCAGCAACUCCAAGCAAGAUCCUCUCCCCAGCCCACAGGGCUACAGAGAAGGCAACGGGAACAAAGAAAGGGCAUUUUACUCCUUGUUAUUGGUUUUGAACCUAAAAUGUGUAAUUAUCUUCUGCAAACACCUGAAGGACUUACGUAAAGCUCAUCACAGGAGAAGGUAUUUAAAUAGGAAAGGAGGCAGCGUCUUUUGCCGGAGCAGGGAGCAGAAUACUGUCGGAGCAAGCAAAAUACUUGCUUUUGAAACCCCAGAUUGACCUUGGAGGAGGAGGAGGAGAAUAGCCUGCUGGCCUCCAUGGAUGCAAUCCCAGAUCACAGGGUUCAGCAGAGGAGCUUUUCUAUUUCCUGGAGUUCACUGUGCCUUGGAGAGGGCAGGGGCACUGCCCUAGGGAUUGUUAUUUCAGACAAUAAUUUCACCCUACAAAGUGAAGGCAAGACAAAAUGUCAUUUUCCUUUUUAUCUGUCAUAAAGGCGCAUUGGACUUGUAGAAGGUGCGUGCCUUUUAGACAGUAGGUGGACCAGGUAAAACCUGGAUUCAAAUCGAGCUUUUUCUGCUUCAUAGCUGUAUGACCUAGGACAGAUUACAUUAAGUUGCAUUUUUGAGUCCUCAUCAGGAAAAUCAGAUAAAAAUGCAGACUUUAUUGGAGUACCGUAAGGAUCAGAGGCAAUUUGAAAGACCCUAUGCAGGACCCCUGGAAGACUAUCAGAAGCAACGUGGGACACGCAGCACCACCCAUGCUGGCCACUGGCUUGCACAGCAGGUCCUCAGAUAAUGUCAUCUCAUUUUUUCUUGUUUUGAACAGAGUCUCGCUCUGUGGCCCAGGCUGGAGUGCAGUGGCACAAUCCCUGCUCAACCUCCUGGGCUCAAGAGAUCCUCCCACCUCCUGAGUAGCUGGGAUCACAGGCACACACCACCAAGCAACGGCUAAUUUUUAAACUUUUUGCAGAGAUGGGGGUCUCACUAUGUUGCCCAGGCUACACCAUGUCAUUAGAACAUGGAUGAGAAAAAAAAUCCAUUCCUGCUGGGGCCACAGUCUGUGUGGAGUCUGCUCUCUCUUUCCAUGUCUGCGUAGGUUUUCUCCAGGCUUUCCCACUUCCUCCCACAUCCCAGCGAUGUGCACGUUAGGUGAACUGGUGUAUCUACAUCAUCCCAGUCUGAGCAAUCAUGGGUGUGGGUGAGUGUGCCCUGUGAAGGAAUGGCAUCUCUCUAGGGCUAGUCCCACCUUGCACCCUGAGCUGCCAGGAGAGGCUCUGACUACUCAUGACCCUGAACUGUAAUCACUGAGUAAAUAAUGAUCUUACUUGUUUUUAUUAAUAAAUGCAUGUAAACCUCA